AGAGCCUCCCUUCCUCCAUUCCACAGGGAUUUAUAUAUGUGUGAAUAUGUGUUUGUUCCUCCAUUGUUUAUGAGAUUCUGAAUUAGAGAAAUCCAUUUGAUUGAAGCUUGGAAACAAAGCGUGUAUGGAGAAACAGAUUUUGCUUGUGACUCUGUCGAUUUGAGUUUCUGUUUGGAUGCUGUGAAAGCUGAGACAAAGGGAUUUGAAAAAGGGGAGCAUAACUUAUCUGGAUUGGCAAUUUCAAUAUACAAUGUGAAGGGUAACAUUUGACGAUGGGUAGAGGCUGAGGACAAUGGAUAGGCAUGUGAAAUAGUAGUUUUUCUUUGAGAAAGCCAAUACUUUAAUUUCACCCAGUAAGAUGACAUGGCAAAUAGGUACUGCAGCUUAUAUCAAGUGCAGCUCAAAGACCCAGUUGGUAGACAACUUAGAAGAAUAUAAGAUCCAUUUGACCAAGAUGACUUAGAACACUACUCCAAGAUGACAGCUGAAUGUGAAGAAUAAGUACAAAUUGUGGAAGAUACACAACCAUAGGUUAAUGCUUGGGAUAUGGUAUUUUGUAAUUAUAGGUUAUAAUGUUAUAAAUAUGGUAUUUUGUAUGGAUAUAGUAGGA